AUGGUUUGCUGCCCUAGCCCCCACAUCAGAUUUUGCUUUUAAGGACUUUGCAGGGGAGUCUGUUACCUAGCAGUGGAGGGAAAGAACAGAUAAAGAGAAGCAUCUGCUCCUCAAGAAAGAGGAGCAGCCUCCUGAACAAGUCCAGGAAGCAAUUCCUGACGAGGGAGAGAAGCCACGCUACCUGAAUUAUCUGAAGAGGCCUCAGGUGGAGGCAGGGUGAGAAAGGAUUUCAGGACGAGUUAUCCCUAUGAGCUGAGCACAACAAGCCACGGGCAGCAAAAUGAUCUCACGUGCAAGAAACCAGACUUGGGACAGGCUUCAAACUUCCACUUUCUGGGAGUGCAACAGGCUGGUGGCAUGAGAAAACCAGUCUGCAGCUGCUUGAAGCCAGCUAACUUCUGUGAGCUAGCAACCUGAUCUUUCACACAGAUCCUCGAGUCAACUAGCUGUAAAGAAGGAAGCUGAUGAGAUUUGUAUGUACCUUCAAUAAAGUGAAGGUGGGGUUUGUUGUUUGUUUAAUGGCCCAUAA